GCCUUGAAGCAAAAAUUUGUGUGUUUCUUUGUGAUUCUUCUGGUUUGUGCUGUCUGGAGGGCAGAAGGAAGAUACCUGCCCACCCGAUCUGACAGCAGUCGGUACGAGCACAUCAAGGAGAUUCUCAGAGCGUUGAUGGAUCUGAACGAAUCUGAGUCACACAGCGGUAGACAGAACUACAUGUACGACGACGUGCUCCGUUCGAAAAGAGCAACAGCCGAUCAGAAGAUUCAAGAAACUGUUGUCGCAUGAUGAAACAAAAGGUCACAAAAUGGAACCCUACUGUUGAACUUUAAUUCCACUCAUAAUUUUUAUUAAUUUGAUGCAAUCAGGAAGUGGACAUGUAUUUAAAGAUUCAAACUCAUACAACUUUAGUCAUGUUUGAUUUUGUUCUCAUAUAAUUCAUUGUCACUCUCCUUUUGCUUUUAAAAACUGUCUUGUUAUGUAAUUCUGGAAACAUUAAAAUUAUUUUCUUGUUGUAGCUUA